rnacentral:tRNA from 1 species
GGCAGGGUAGCUCAGGGGUAGAGCAGAGGACUCAUAAGCCUUUUGUCGGGAGUUCAAUUCUCCCUCCUGCUACCA